CAUUUCAGAGACCUGCCCAGCAGAAUGACCAGAGAA
rnacentral:rRNA from 1 species